CCACUCUGGCAGUAUGUGGGAUGAUAAAUUUGGGAAGGGAAAAGUUAAGAGACAGGGAUAAGACUCUGAAGCUAUUGCAGAAAUCCACCCCGUAACGGUGGCACAAGAGCAGAAAUAUUUGAAGACCUUUGCCCUGGACUACAUUUCUGCAUAAAUUUUCCAUCCAGGUCACUCCUGUUGUCAAAGCUGAAAGCUUGGAGGUGAUGAGAGACCUAUGCAAGUUCCAGUCCAUCAUCAUCAGUUCCACGUUGUCCCUGCUCUUCCCCACAUCGUGUCCCUCAUUCCUUCUCAACUGUCUGGCCUGUUCUCUUUAGGCUCUAGCACCAGACACAGAAGCCACACCUCACGUAGCCUGUUUGUAUCAACUCUGUA